rnacentral:rRNA from 1 species
UACGGAGGGUGCGAGCGUUGUCCGGAAUCACUGGGCGUAAAGGGCGCGUAGGCGGAUAGUUUAGUCAGAGGUGAAAGCCCAGGGCUCAACCCUGGAAUUGCCUUUGAUACUGGCUAUCUUGAGUUCGGGAGAGGUGAGUGGAACUCCGAGUGUAGAGGUGAAAUUCGUAGAUAUUCGGAAGAACACCAGUGGCGAAGGCGACUCACUGGCCCGAUACUGACGCUGAGGCGCGAAAGCGUGGGGAGCAAACAGG